CUAGAGUAGGGUGGACAAGGUAUCAGUCUGAAACUAGAGUAGGGUGGACAAGGUAUCAGUCUGAAACUAGAGUAGGGUGGACAAGGUAUCAGUCUGAAACUAGAGUAGGGUGGACAAGGUAUCAGUCUGAAACUAGAGUAGGGUGGACAAGGUAUCAGUCUGAAACUAGAGUAGGGUGGACAAGGUAUCAGUCUGAAACUAGAGUAGGGUGGACAAGGUAUCAGUCUGAAACUAGAGUAGGGUGGACAAGGUAUCAGUCUGAAAUUAGAGUAGGGUGGUGGCAUAUCCAGGUUUACCUCGUCAGUGUCUCACACACACAGGGUGAGGUAAAGUAGUGGAGGUGUCCAGGUGUAAAGGUUUACUACAUCAGUGUCUCACACGGGGUGAGGUAAAGUAGUGGAGGUGUCCAGGUGUAAAGGUUUACUAAAUCAGUGUCUCACACAGGGUGAGGUAAAG